rnacentral:rRNA from 1 species
AGAAUCAACGCUGGCGGCGUGCCUAACACAUGCAAGUCGCACGAGAAAGGGACUUCGGUCCUAAGUACAGUGGCGCACGGGUGAGUAACACGUGAAUUAUCUACCUCCGAGUGGGGAAUAACUGAGAGAAAUCUUAGCUAAUACCGCAUAACACUUACGAGUCAAAGCAGCAAUGCGCUUGGAGAGGAGUUCGCGGCAGAUUAGUUAGUUGGCGGGGUAAUGGCCCACCAAGACGAUGAUCUGUAUCCGGCCUGAGAGGGCGCACGGACACACUGGAACUGAAACACGGUCCAGACUCCUACGGAGGCAGCAGUGGGGAAUUUUGCGCAAUGGGGGAAGCCCUGACGCAGCAACGCCGCGUGGAGGAUGAAAUCCCUUGGGAUGUAAACUCCUUUCGAUAGGGAAGAUAAUGACGGUACCUAUAGAAGAAGCCCCGGCUAACUUCGUGCCAGCAGCCGC